rnacentral:tRNA from 1 species
GCGCUCGUAGCUCAGCGGAUAGAGCGCUGCCGUGCGGAGGCUGAGGUCUAAGGUUCGAGUCCUUCCGAGCGCGCCA